rnacentral:rRNA from 1 species
AUUGAACGCUGGCGGCAGGCUUAACACAUGCAAGUCGAGCGGGGGAAGGUAGCUUGCUACCGGACCUAGCGGCGGACGGGUGAGUAAUGCUUAGGAAUCUGCCUAUUAGUGGGGGACAACAUCCCGAAAGGGAUGCUAAUACCGCAUACGUCCUACGGGAGAAAGCAGGGGACCUUCGGGCCUUGCGCUAAUAGAUGAGCCUAGGUCGGAUUAGCUUGUUGGUGAGGUAAUGGCUUACCAAGGCGACGAUCCGUAACUGGUCUGAGAGGAUGAUCAGUCACACUGGAACUGAGACACGGUCCAGACUCCUACGGGAGGCAGCAGUGGGGAAUAUUGGACAAUGGGCGAAAGCCUGAUCCAGCCAUGCCGCGUGUGUGAAGAAGGUCUUCGGAUUGUAAAGCACUUUAAGUUGGGAGGAAGGGUUGUAGAUUAAUACUCUGCAAUUUUGACGUUACCGACAGAAUAAGCACCGGCUAACUCUGUGCCAGCCGCCGCAGUAA